rnacentral:rRNA from 1 species
AUACGGAGGAUCCGAGCGUUAUCCGGAUUUAUUGGGUUUAAAGGGUGCGCAGGCGGCCGUGCAAGUCAGCGGUGAAAGCCCGGGGCCCAACCCCGGAAGUGCCGUUGAUACUGCAUGGCUUGAAUGCGGUCGAGGCGGGCGGAACGUGGCGGGUAGCGGGGGAAUGCGUAGAUAUGCCACAGAACGCCGAUAGCGGAGGCAGCUCGCCAGGCCUGCAUUGACGCUCGGGCACGAAAGCGUGGGGAUCGAACAGGAUUAGAUACCCUGGUAGUCCACGCCGUAAACGAUGGGCGCUCGUCGUCGGCGGCAGACAGUCGGCGGCCAAGCGAAAGCGAUAAGCGCCCCACCUGGGGAGUACGGUCGCAAGGCUGAAACUCAAAUGAAUUGACGGGG